rnacentral:lncRNA from 1 species
CCCAGAUUGGCAUUCCCAGGACUGGCAUUCCCCGACUGGUACUCCCAGAUUGGCAUCCCCAGAUCGACAUUCCAGGACUGGCAUUCCAGGAUUGACAUUCCCAGGAUUGCCAUUCCCAUAUCGACAUUCCCAUACCGACAUUCCCAGAUUGGCAUUCCCAGAUCGACAUUCCAGGACUGGCAUUCCAGGAUUGACAUUCCCAGGACUGACACUCCCAGACUGGCAUUCCCAGAUUGCCAUUCCCAUACCGACAUUCCCAGAUCGACAUUCCCAGAUUGGCAUUCCCAGACUGGCAUUCCCAGGACUGGCAUUCCCUGACUGACACUCCCGGACUGGCAUUCCCAGAUUGCCAUUCCCAUAUCGACAUUCCCAGAUUGGCAUUCCCAGAUUGGCAUUCCCAGACUGGCAUUCCAGGCUGGCAUUCCCGCNCAUUCCCAGAUUGGCAUUCCCAGACUGGCAUUCCAGGCUGGCAUUCCCGCCCAUCCCAGCGAGCCCCUGGCCCUGUCUGGCUCCAUCCCUGCCCUUCCCUACCCCAGACACCUCCAGGCUCUGGAAAAUCCCGAUUUCCUCCCCCUGGCCGGCGGCAGCUGCUCCGUGCCAGCCCCGCGGGCAUCAUGGAGGGACCGAGGGAGGAGGAGGGAAGGAGAAAAGAAGGAGAAAAGGAGAGAAGGGAAGGAGAAAUCCCGGCUGGAGGCGGCGGCAGCAGCAUCCAUCCAUCCAUCCAUCCAUCCAUCCAUCCAUCCAUCCAUCCAUCCAUCCAUCCAUCCAUCCCUCCAUCCAUCCGCCCCGUACUCACCGCUGCCGCUGCUCAGAGGGGAACAAAGGCGAGCCCGAGCCUUCCUCCCCGCCAGCUCCGCAUUCCUCCUCCCGCUGGACGCGGCUCAGCAGGUGCGGCCCGCGGAUGGCGGCGGGGAUGAGGAGGAUGAGGAUGGAGCAGCGUGCGGAUGCAUCCAGGAGCCAAACCUCGCCCCAGCCCCGGUGAUCAGCACCAAAUCCUCCCUUCCCCGGCCCCCUGAGCCUCCCUGGGCACGAGAACACGGGAAAGGCACAACCAGAGCUGCUCUGGGCCCUGCUGGAUGGGUCGGUGUCCAGGUGGGAGGAUCCUGGUGCAGCCACCCCUGCUCAGGAUGCAGCGUUUGGGAGUUCCUGGUGUGUUGGGGAAGAUGAAACAAGAAAGCCUUAUAAAUGUGAUUGCCUGACAAAAGAUUUGGAGAAUAUGGAAACUGUAAGUGAGAUUGAAAUGAAAGCAAGCUUUGAGAUCCCUCAGUUACUGAACAACUGGAAAACAAUGGAGUGGCUGACUGAAGGUGAAACAACACCCUCUGCCUGCAGACAGGCCCCAGGGUCAGAGGAGCCCCCACUCUGAGCUGUGGGUGAUGUGAAAUCCUCAGAGCCAUCAAAUCAUGCCAUUGUUAGGUUGGAAAAUCCCUCUGAGGUCAUGGAGCCCAACCACCAACGCAGCACUGCCAAGGCCGCCAUUAAACCGUGUCCCCAAGUGCCACAUCCACGUUUUUGGAACAUUCCAGGCAUGGGGACUCCACCACCACCACCCUUUCGGUGAAGAUCUUCUUCCCAACAUCCAAUCUCAUGAGGAAAUUUUCCCUCAUACCCCAUCUCCUGGAAUUACACAAUCCUUCCACCCAAAACCAGGCGGUGCAAAGUGGAUCCUGUCCCUUGAGGAGCUGCUUUUGUGGUUUAUUAUCUGCUCAUAAACAUUUAUCCCUGCUGCCUGGGCUGAUAAAUCCUGCCCCAAGCAGGGAAGGACAUUCCUGCCCUUGGGAUGCCCAGGCAGGUGGCACAGGCUGCCCUUGGCAUUGAUGUUAAUUGAAGGGUUAAUGAGGGCUCUGCUCUGCCUCCCUGCUCCCUGAUUAAUUCCAGCCAGGUGUCCACGGUUCAGGCCCUAAAAACAACAACUGCAGCAGAGUCUGCGAGCACUUAGGCAGGCCUCAGGCUGCAAUUCCAAGUAUGGAUAAAUAUUUGCACCUCCGAGGCUGGGAGACACCUUGGAGAUAGGGAGGGGAUGGCUGGGGGGGCUUUUCCAAGGGAAAAGAUGGAUUUGCUGGGGAGCAGUGCUGGAAUCCUUGUGCAGCCCUGCCUGGGUGGUCCUGGGGAGGAUCCUGAGGUUUUGGGGGCUGCAAAAUCCUCCUGAGGAAUCCAAACAAGCUCCCACUGAGUUUUGGCCUCACAGCUCCCGUGGCUGCCCCCAGGGAUGGACAGACACGGGAGAGUGAGGAGGAGAAAUGCAGAAUGUGCACAGGGAAUGUGCAAAGCUCCUUGUUUGGGGCAGGCUGUGGGGAAAAGCAGAAAAUCCAUUGAAUUCUGGGAGCUCCCUUCCCACCCCGGUGAGCUCUCAGGUUCUCUCUGUGCCUGAAAUGCUCCAGAGGUUUCCAGCUCUGACUUUCACAUCUGUCAGUGAAUUUCUGCCUUUCAGCAGCCUGUGAUGAGUGCCAGCAUGACAGAAAAAUUGUGUUUGCCUUCAGCCCAGGGCAAUCCACGUUCUCCAGCCUCCUUCAUGCCUGGGAAACCCAAGGAAUUCAGUUACCUGCUCUUCUCCACCUCUUCUCAUAGAACCAGGCUGGAAAAGACCUCUAAGAUCACCCAAUCCAACAAUCCAAUGGCCCUGCUGGUGCUCCACUGACCAUUUUUUAUUUUUAAAAUAUUUUUAACCUUUUUUUUUUCUGUGUUUAGGUCUGAAAAUCUCAUGGGGUCCUGCAGGCCUGACCCUCAUCUCACUCUGGCCAGCAACAGCAAAACUAAAACCCAGCCCAGGGUUGUGAUUCACUGGAUUCGGGGAUGCCUGGGCUGCAGAAUUCUGAUUAUUUGGGUAAAUAAAGAGCCUCACAAGAGGGCUCUUCCCUCUGGA